rnacentral:rRNA from 1 species
CCCUUAGAUGUUCUGGGCUGCACGCGCGCUACACUGAAGCUAUCAACACGUUUUCCCUCCCUGAGAAGGGCGGGUAACCUUUUGAAUCAGCUUCGUGGUAGGGAUCGGGGCUUGCAAUUGUUCCCCGUGAACCAGGAAUUCCUAGUAGACGCGAGUCAUAAGCUCGCAUCGAUUAAGUCCCUGCCCUUUGUACACACCGCCCGUCGCUACUACCGAAUGAACGUUUUAGUGAGGCAUUUGGACCGACGCAUCUCAGUUUAACCGCUGGUUUGUGUUGGAAAGACUUCCAAACUUGAGCGUUUAGAGGAAGUAAAAGUCGUAACA